CGUAGCCGGCUUUGCAAGUCUCCGGUUAAAUCCACCUGCUUAACAGAUGGGCCGCUGGAGAUACUACAAAGCUAGGGAGUGGGAGAGGCGGACGGUAUUCGGGGGGUAGGGGUAAAAUCCUCUGAUCCUCCGAGGACCACCAGUGGCGAAGGCGGUCUGCCAGAACACGUUCGACGGUGAGGGAUGAAAGCUGGGGGAGCAAACCGGAUUAGAUACCCGGGUAGUCCCAGCUGUAAACGAUGCAAACUCGGUGAUGCAUUGGCUUAUGGCCAAUGCAGUGCCGCAGGGAAGCCGUUAAGUUUGCCGCCUGGGAAGUACGGACGCAAGUCUGAAACUUAAA
rnacentral:rRNA from 1 species